GUGUGAUACAAGUGAGGCAUAGAAUCUUUGACAGGGGUAAAAGAAUAUCAGAUCAGAUGCAAUCCAAUCUUUGUAAUGACUUGACUAAAAUCUCGUCCUUCCGUUUCAACGUAUCUAUGGUCCCCAGCUUCUCUUUUCCGAUUUCUGACAGCACUGCAUAUUUAAAAUUCCUUACAUUAUGGCUGUAUGAGAAAUGUAUUAUCCUCUGAUAGCUACAGACAGAUACACCUUCGUUUCACUCGUACUUGUCAUCUGCAUAGUUUUCGAACCUUAUUCCAGGAAUGUAUGGUGGAAUUCUUUUCCAUCUGAUGCGGAUUUGAGGAAUCCCACUAUCUACGAUGUCCUGAAACAUUUCUAGUCAUUUUUUUUAAAUGGAAGAUUCUGUUGACAAAAGCACCCAGUCAGCAAUUUUGCUACAAUCCUUCUGAGGGGGACAAAUAAUUAACAAUACCAGUGACUUGAUGCUCCUUGUUAAACUCUUUCAAGUCCAAAUUUGGGAACGCACACACCGUGCUGAUUGGCCGUGGCUACACGUGUUCGUAUUGGCUGAAACCAAACCGGAAUGAUAAAAACGACCACGGGAUGCUAUUCGGUGCAGGAAAGCGCGAGAUUCCAAGGGAAUGGAAUAUCGGAAUCUUAACUCAAAGUAAAGGUGACGAGCCAGAUUCUCAAGUCAAGAAUGUUGCUUAUUCUUUCCUGCUCAAGGCCACAAAAAAUGGGUUCUUUCUCUCCCUUUCCAUUCUUUAUUCUUUAUGCUUAACAGUUUCAGAUUCCUUGCACCAAACAUUUAUGGCUUGAUUAUUUACCUGAUAAGCAGAGUUUCUUUUUCCCAGAAUAUUUGGAGUUAUAUAUUUUUUUGGUUAAUUCUUUCA